UGAGAUUCCGUGUAAGGGUGUAGAAACCUCUCUCAAGCAUACGCGUUUUAAAAACUUAAAGGGAAAGCCUAACAAUAUUGGUUAGCAGUGGACGGACUUGGGCGGUUACAAAUAGUCCUUGAAAUUUAAUUCUAGAGCCCCAUAAUCAUAAUUGACUCACCUAAUUUUACAUAAAAAUAAUUUAAACAAACUAAAAAGUAGUUAUACUAACUUUAAAUGCUUCCAACUAGUUGAAACUAAGACGGAAGAAGUCAAGGAUCCCCUCAACAAGUAAAUAUCCUUUUCAAUUGUCUCAGAAGGAAGAAUUGAAACAGAUGAUAGACAAAAGCUAAAGGAUUAGAGAUCGACUCAAUAAAUGAAAUGCUUAAACUUAAGAGUUGUAUUCCUUUGAGUGAGAGUUAUACAACUUGUGUUACGAGGAUAAGAACAAAUUUUUUUUUCCCAA